rnacentral:rRNA from 1 species
CGUGUAGGCGGUCGGCCAAGUCUGAUGUGAAAGCCCGGGGCUCAGCCUCGGAAGUGCGUCGGAAACUAGUCGGCUGGAGCGCGAUAGAGGAGGGUGGAAUUCCUGGUGUAGCGGUGAAAUGCGUAGAUAUCAGGAGGAACACCGGCGGCGAAGGCGGCCCUCUGGAUCGUUGCUGACGCUGAGAGCGAAAGCGUGGGAGCAACA